GGAUGACUUCACCAGGACCCUUGGCAACAGUGCUGGUGGAAAGUGGAAAGAAACAGUUACAUGAGCCAUAGAUGGCAGAAACAGUAGGUCCACUCGUUCCCCUUCCUACCUGCCCUCACAUGGUUUCUGGAUUCUCUUCCACAUAUUUUCAGAAUUCCAGGAUCAACACCUCCCUCCCUGUUCCUGUUCCCCCCAGAACAUUUUUGAGGCAGCAUUUCUACAGUGGGGAUGGCAUUCCCCAGAUGAUCCACUCAAGCUGCUCCACAGGUGUCCUUUGCUCCUUUCUUCUUGCCUCUUCCUACUAAUUGGCACUCCGAGGCCUGGAUGAAGACCUACAAUGAAGCCCACUUAUUUUAUAGAACUCACAUUUAGGCAGCAGGUAUAUGAAGCCCUGAAACUCCUUGGGAUCCCUAUGUUCAAAUGCCAAAGCAACUGUGACCAACUUUUGCCAUAUGGCAAAAAAAGACACUCUCUUGGCCUCCUUUUUCCACCAGCAAUGGAAAAGAAAAGAAAUAACAAUAAUAAAGAAAGAAGAGGUUGGUGUUUUCAUAA
rnacentral:lncRNA from 1 species